GGCAAGUUUUUCAAGUAAACCAAACAGCCUUCUCUGCUCUUUCCUCCAUUUCCCUUCACAUUCUCAUAUCCAAUCUUUCUUUUCUUUCUUGGUUGCAGCUGGUCCUCAUCCUCCUGGACGAGUGGUAGAAGACCUCCGUCCUAACACCUCAUCCAUGAGGGAAACCAGGGCCAUGUAGCAGCAGUGGGCUUCCCACUCACUCCCACGCCUGACGCUGGAUACUAGCAAUCGUAAAGGCAGAGGAAAGGUGGCAGCUGACAAACGCAGCAACAGUGCAGGUUUAUAUGAAUACGUUCAAUAAUGUCUGGUUAAAAAUUCAGAUUUGAAUACUGCUGUCCAUACUUUGUUUUUCUUUCUUUUUUUUGACACUUUUUAUUUGUUUAGGAACAUUUUUAUGCAACAAGAUAAAAUAAAAAAAUAAAAAACAAACAGUAUGAGGUCAUGGGACACAACAGGCAGCUUAGAAUACAGUUGAAUAAACAUUAAAAACAACAGAUGAUGAAAUCAUUUCUGAUAGUAUGAUGUCAUAUUUUGACCAACACAGUGCAUCUGUUUACAUUUCAAAACCCAUCAUUCUAAAUAUUUUGUUAAUGUGACAUUGCUGUUACAUGUUGGUACGAACAUAUGGCUUCUUCAUACCGCAGUCUUCGUGAAUGAUGCGGUGUGCAGCGGUGUGCAGCUGUGUGCAGCUGUGGGCCAUAAGCACACUGGUUCAGCUUCACAUGGGAGACCUUUAUGUGGUCACAAAGUGGUGAAUGGCUGCCUCCCUCCACAGGGAGACUGUCAUGGUUCAACCAUCCUGGAAUCACAAACAUGACAGAAUGAAAGAUUUAUUCAUUAACUAACACACAAAGCCCACAGGCGCACACAAAGCCCACAGGCGCACACAAAGCCCACAGGCACACACAAAGCCCACAGGCACACACAAAGCCCACAGGCACACACAAAGCCCACAGGCACACAAAGCCCACAGGCACACACAAUCUGCUCACCUACCGCCAAAUGUACCAGAUGACUUUCAGCUGUCAGUAUCACACUUCAGGUGCAGCAUUACCUGCUUCAGCUGGAGAGUUUUUAUAGGAACGUGUUGUUUCCCUGACAACCUUCCUCACUGCCAAACACAGAAAAGUCCAUUAAAAUUAACGUCAGUUAUAGUGAGUGUAUAGAUCCGUGACAGGCGUUUGUUUCUUGACGAGUCUACAAACACCUUGGACACACAACACGUUUGAGUAUUUUCCUUUAAACCCAUGCUUCAGCGACAGCUUUCACUACAUUAUAUGUCGACUACUUCCAUUGUUCCUCCUUUUGUUUUCAUUGUAUACAUCACACUCACUAAAGCCGUUUGUCUGUGCAUUUAAAACGAUAUAAUCUAAUCCUUCCAUCAUUGUUAGCGAGCACAUAAAGACUGUUGAGUGUAAUCUAGCCCAUACAAUACAAAUGUAUGUAGGCAUGAUGGAAAUGGACUGUAUGAAUACCAGAAACACAAAUGAUAAAAUAAUAGUGGUUGUUCAUGUUCCCACAAUUUAGUGUUUGACUGACAACAAUUUUGACUGGUAAAUGCAUAAAAACAAUAACGGUUUCUUUGAAAAGCUAAAUAUCAGUUCUGAUGGGACCACAGAUACUGACCUCCACGACCCCCCCUUGGUUGAGCUCAUCUUUGGCGUCGUUACAGGCCAGGAGGAUGCAGAAGAUCCUCCGCUUUCGCAGUAAGACCUUCUGCCAGUGGAAGGGCAGGUGCCCUGAAAAACUGAGUCCAUGCAGUGAUGUUUAUGACCUAAGGGGGAGCUGUGCCUCUCAGUUCAUGCCCCCUUAUUAUAUAUAUGAGGCCCCCCCUCGUGGACUUUGGAGAACUCCUCAAACACGCUUCACUACAAUCUCCCCAUCGGUGAUGGCUGCCACCUUAUUACACUUUGUAAUGUGUGGUUUAGCCACUCCCUCUUUCAAGUCCCAGGUGAUCACCCCGACCUGGUCGCAUCGUUUUAAAACCCGGAUAUGCAACGGUGGUGGAAAUAAGGCAUCUCUUCAUCAAACACAUUAACAGGUUAAUACAUUUCUGCUGGAUCCAGUUCUGAUAUAAUACAGUAACACCUGCUGCUGUCAUGGAGUCUCUUUGCAUUUUGAGAUGGCACAAACAUCGUUAAUCUCUUAAACACCAAGUGUGUUUCUGAGGUUCCUGCUUGAAAUUUACACGCCCGAAAUCAUUACAAUAUUUCUCUGAAAGUACAAACUCUGUCUACAAAAUUAACUUGACACUUAUGAGCCUUCAUCAAAUACAUACAAAUAUUACAGCUCAUGCACGUCUGUCCAACUCACUCUGAUAGAACCCAGUCACUGUUUUUGUAGCAAAUAAUCCCUUUUGAAAAUAAGUUACAGUACACAAUACACUAGAAAACAGGGAAGAUGUUCAUAGGAAGAUUAUGUGAGACACGAUUCAUGCGGCUGAAGUGAAACAG
ensembl:lncRNA